rnacentral:tRNA from 1 species
GUCCCUAUCGUCUAGGGGUCAGGACACCGCCCUUUCACGGCGGUAACACGGGUUCAAAUCCCGUUGGGGACGCCA